rnacentral:rRNA from 1 species
UCCAUGCAUGUGUAAGUAUAAGUAUUGUACAGCGAAACUGCGAAUGGCUCAUUACAUCAGUUAUUAUUUAUUUGAUAAUCGAAAGUUACAUGGAUAACCGUGACAAAUUACAGCUAAUACAUGCAGUCAGACCUGGUCCAAGGGUCGUAAUUAUUAGUAUUAAACCAUUUCCGAAAGGAGUGUGAUGAAUCAUAAUAAUCGAACGAAUCGCCUGGUGUGCGAUAAAUCAUUCAAGUUUCUGCCCUAUCAGCUUUGGAUGGUAGUGUAUUGGACUACCAUGGCAGUCACGGGUAACGGAGAAUUAGGGUUCGAUUCCGGAGAGGGAGCCUGAGAAACGGCUACCACAUCUACGGAAGGCAGCAGGAGCGAAAAUUGCCCAAUCCCGACACGGGGAGGCAGUGACAAGAAAUAACAACUCUAGGUUAUUCUUAGAAGUGUAAUGAGGAUAAUUUACAACCCUUACCGAAAGCAAUUGGAGGGCAAGUCUGGUGCCAGCAGCCGCGGUAAUUCCAGCUCCAAUAGCGUAUAUUAAAGUUGUUGCAGUUAAAAAGCUCGUAGUUGAAGUUCUGGCUGCUCGAUCCUCGAGCUCUGUAGCCGAGGAAUCGACAGUCAUCCGCUUGCAAAUAUAUGUUCGCCUUUAACCGGGCGGCUAUAUGAGUAAGCAUUUUACCUUGAGAAAAACAGAGUGUUCCAGGCAGGUUUGUCCGGAAUGCAUUAGCAUGGAAUAAUAGAAUAUGACUGAAGUCUAUUUAUUGGUUUAAGGCUUUAGUAAUGAUUAAUAGGAACAGUCGGGGGCAUUGGUACUUGUCAGUCAGAGGUGAAAUUCUAGGAUUUGACAAAGACUAACAAAUGCGAAAGCAUUUGCCAAGGAUGUUUUCAUUAAUCAAGAACGAAAGUUAGGGGAUCAAAGACGAUCAGAUACCGUCCUAGUCUUAACUAUAAACUAUACCGACUCGGAUUCAGAUGAAUCAAAAAGUUCAUUUGGGACCGUAGGAGAAAUCAAAGUUUUUGGGUUCUGGGGGAAGUAUGGUCGCAAGGCUGAAACUUAAAGGAAUUGACGGUUUUGCACCACCAUGGAGUGGAGUCUGCGGCUUAAUUUGACAACACUGGGAAACUCAUCAGGGCAAGAAGAUUUUAGGAUUGACAGAUUGAGAGUUCUUUCUUGAUUGGUCUAGUGGUGGUGCAUGGCCGUUCUUAGUUGGUGGAGUGAUUUGUCUGGUUAAUUCCGUUAACGAACGAGACCUUAACCUGCUAACUAGUACACAGAUGACAAAUCUGUGUUACUUCUUAGAGGGACUAUGUGAUGUAAUCACAUGGAAGUUUGAGGCAAUAACAGGUCUGUGAUGCCCUUAGAUGUCCUGAGCUGCACGCGUACUACAAUGGUGCUUUCAACGAGCUUUUCCUGAUCCGAAAGGAUUUGGGUAAUCUUUUUAGUGAGCACCGUGCUUGGGAUUGAUCUUUGUAAUUAUGGAUCAUGAACUAGGAAUUCCUAGUAAGCGCUGGUCAUCAGCCAGUGCUGAUUACGUCCCUGCAAAAUGUACACACCG